rnacentral:lncRNA from 1 species
AAAUUAUUGCUCAACCAUUCCUUGUGAAAUGCAGGUACAGAUAGAUGAAAAGAUGAAGACUCCCACUAAACUGAGCAGCUUAGAAGGGUUCGUUUUCGAAAGGAUGUUGACCGACUAUUUGAAAUACUAGAGAGACACAUUGCUGUCAAGCAGGCCUGGGAGGAAAGGAGGGAGCUAUCUAACCCUCCCAUCGCCACAAUUUGAGCCACUCUUUUAGCGGGAGAAUCCUGAGCUACCCCGGUACAAUCCUACUCCUCCACAGUACCAUCCAACACCACCAUAGUAUAGUCU